rnacentral:tRNA from 1 species
GCCUCUGAAGAUUACCGGAAAUGAUCAUCGAGCUACGAACUCGAAGGCAGUUGGUUCGAUUCCAACCGGGGGCA